ACAUCAGUAGCACAGUGGUUAAUGAUGUUUGUUGGAAACAGAAGGACGCGGGUUCAAUUCCCGUCCGAUGUC
rnacentral:tRNA from 1 species